UACAUUAAUCUCAACUAAUUUUUACAGAAUGUGUUGGUUCUAUUCUAGACUUGGUCGAUUCCUUUCCCCAUGUGCAGCAGUGCAGUUAAAUCGUAGCUGAUAUCAUGUGACAUCUUUCUGCAAUGAUGAUAUGUUCAUUCUGUUCAGCACAAAGUUGUGUGGUGAUUCAAUAUUAGUCAUGAAGGACUCUAUUUUAAUGAUUCAAAAUUGCUCAUCGGUAUAGCAAGAUGACUGGAUUAUUACAGUAGUGAUACAGUCCAGAUGGGAUUCCACUCGAGAAAUUACAGUUGUGAAUUUUGGUCCAAGGCUAUCCUGCUGGCCGAUGAUUGGAAGUGAAAUCAACUGUUUUGGAUGUAAUUACGAGUUCCUUAUUCCUUCAGCGCCCUACAGCUAGUGUUUGAUGGCCAGUCACCCUGUAUGGAUGACUUUCAACUGUAACAUCUAAGGAAAUCAUGUUGGUUUCCUGAUUGACCUGUUCAUAUCAGCUGUUUAUGUUUGGUUUUUCUUACAUUCGCCACCAACACAAUCAGCUGGAAGAUUGAUUCUCAUUCUGUGAGAAUCCUAGUGUUGGAGCCUGGCGUGUCUGCAGUGUGUGUACAUUUGGCGGUUACUGGUUAAUCCUCGACAUUGCGUAAGUUGUGUGUGCCGCAGUGAUGAUUUGGGCUCUUUCUGUCUUGGCUUACGGCAAUCCCGCACUUGGUGGUAACUCACGGGGUACAUUGUUGCUCAAUCGAAUCCCUCGGAAAUAUUCUUCCGGCGUCUUCAGCUCACCUCCCGUCACCUU